CAGCCACAUCGGGACUGAGACACGGCCCGAACUCCUACGGGAGGCAGCAGUGGGGAAUAUUGGACAAUGGGGGCAACCCUGAUCCAGCCAUGCCGCGUGUGUGAAGAAGGCUUUCGGGUUGUAAAGCACUUUCAGUGAGGAGGAAGGCCAAGUCGCUAAUAUCGGCUUGGAUUGACGUUACUCACAGAAGAAGCACCGGCUAACUCCGUGCCAGCAGCCGCGGUAAUACGGAGGGUGCAAGCGUUAAUCGGAAUUACUGGGCGUAAAGCGCGCGUAGGUGGUUUGUUAAGCGAGAUGUGAAAGCCCCGGGCUUAACCUGGGAACGGCAUUUCGAACUGGCAGGCUAGAGUGU
rnacentral:rRNA from 1 species